UUAUUGACCUGAGGACAAUAGAAGGGUCAACUGUCUUCCCAGGGUGUGUAUGAAGGGAGGAUGUAGAAGAAACACCUCUCAAGAUUUGAAAAUCCUGAUGAUUACUACCUAUUUCUAGUGACUGAAAUGAGUACAAAUAUUAUUGCCAGGAGGAAUCUUCUGAACAUCGCUAAAGAAAUAAGUCUUGGUGCCCAUAUGGAUUGUAUAAUGAAGAAAUUGAGUUUUGGAGGAAUGAAUUGACUGUCACAAGAUCUCACACAGUAAUUCUACAAGUGGUAACUCGGGUUCAUUUCAUCCAUGUCACCAGAUCCAAGGAAAAGCCAUGGCACAGAGGCAUUAUUUCCAUCAGAACUGAUGUCUGCAUUGGGAACUGUCCCACAUUCCCAGGGCAAGACCUAAGAGCAGCCAAGAGAGUGAGCCGCCAUCAUUGGGACAUUAGCCCAAGGAUGUCAUUGCUCUGGCCCAGUGUGACCCUGACCCUGAUUUCUAAGCUUCUAGGAAAUAAUAAGACCCCUGAUUCCCCUUCCUUUCACACCCCAUUCU